rnacentral:misc_RNA from 1 species
GAUGAAGAACGUAGCGAAAUGCGAUAAGUAAUGUGAAUUGCAGAAUUCAGUGAAUCAUCGAAUCUUUGAACGCACAUUGCGCCCCUUGGUAUUCCGGGGGGCAUGCUUGUUCGAGCGUCAUUUCAACCCUCAAGCUCUGCUUGGUAUUGGGCUCCGUCCUCCUCGGACGCGCCUCAAAGACCUCGGCGGUGGCGUCUUGCCUCAAGCGUAGUAGAAACACCUCGCUUUGGAGUGCAUGGCGUCGCCCGCCGGACGAAACCUUUUGUAUUUUCUCAAAGGUUGACCUCGGAUCAGGUAGGGAUACCCGCUGAACUUAAGCAUAUCAAUAAGCGGAGGA